rnacentral:rRNA from 1 species
GAGACAUGCAAGUCGCGGGAGAAAGUCGGGGCAACUCGGCUAGUAAACCGGCGCACGGGUGAGUAACACGUGGGCAACCUGCCCCGGAGACCGGGAUAACCCGUCGAAAGACGGACUAAUACCGGAUAAGACCACGGACAGUUAGCUGUCUGAGGUAAAAGGUGGCCUCUGCUCCUGCAAGCUAUCACUCCGAGAGGGGCCCGCGGCCUAUCAGCUAGUUGGUGAGGUAACGGCUCACCAAGGCGAAGACGGGUAGCUGGUCUGAGAGGAUGGUCAGCCACACUGGGACUGAGACACGGCCCAGAGUCCUACGGGAUGCAGCAGUCAGGAAUAUUGCGCAAUGGAGGAAACUCUGACGCAGCGACGCCGCGUGGGUGAUGAAGGCCUUCGGGUCGUAAAGCCCUGUCGGGAGGGAAGAAAAGCUUACUGGCUAAUAUCCAGUGAGCCUUUGACGGUACCUUCAAAGGAAGCACCGGCUAACUCCGUGCCAGCAGCCGCGGUA